GCCAAAAUGAGUAUAAAGGAAAUUUAAUGCAUGUGGAAGGCCUCAGGAGCCUUUGCGGAUGCCUGCGUGAUGGCAGUCAUGAGGAUGACUGUGAUCCGAGCAGUCUGCCUGAGCUGGCUCUCAUCACAGUGGGUCACUGUCAACAGCACCAGAGUUGCAGUGUACAAACUUCAGCUUUUUUCAACCUGGCCAAGCUAAAACCACCUCAGCGGCAGCUACCCAUACUCUGACUGAACUGAAGCUGACUCUCAGGGCAGGUGAAGAGCAGCACAAGCUUCCUUGCCCCAGAUCAUGUUUUCUGUGAGGAAGGAUUAUAAAAGGGCAUAAGAACAAUCAGAAACUACCCCUUCAAUCAUGAGGACGUCAAUCAUGAGGGUGCCCCAUAGUUUCUUUUACGAAGAACCAGAAUCAACCAAGAUGACUAUAAAAAAAAACAAAAAAAAAAAACAAAAAAAACCACAAAAACAACCAAACCAAACAAAAACCAACCCUCCGAUUAAUCUAACCAUGCCUAAGGUGCCCCUGACAAGAUGUCAGUGUGCCACCAGCACCCAUUUGGUUUUCAUCAAUUUCUCUGCUGUAAUAGCACAAAUUAUAUGCCUGAAAGCCUUUCAUGGUUCUUGGACUCAGGUCUGUCCUGCAAAUGUUCAAUUGGGUCUGAUUAUUAAAUGCUACUCUAUGGUUUGAUUUAGCAUGCCUUUGUUGGGCAAACCUCCUGGUGACAUUAAAUGACUCCCUAAGUGAUGAAAAGUGGAUUUUAGAGAACAAAAUUGCUUGAAAUAUUUGCUGGGGAGCUAGUUUGAAAAGAAUAACAAAUGGAAACCAUUUCUGUCUGGGAGACUGUGAAUUCAUGACUAAAGCAUAUAGCAAUUUUCAUUUAAGCCUUUUUAUGUAUGUAUUAUACAAAUAUAUAUAUAUUCCUCUUGCAGGGAACACUUGGGGAUUUCAGGCUUUUUAACAGUUCUCUCUGUCAAGGGUGCUAGUCCAUAAGUUAUGAUUUUUGGAUCCCUACUUCUGCAAAGAUAGUCUAACUUGGGAAGAUGGUAAAAAUUUCAAAUUGGCAGAGAUAUGCCUGAGGCAAGCUUCAGGCAUAUUGGCACCACAGCUGCCUUACUGCUUUGCCAGCAGAGAAGUGGUACCAUAUAGACUGAUUAGAGGAACAUGGAUAAGGGAGGGGGAGAGCAUGCCAGGAAAACAAAACAAAACAAAAAACUUCAGGAAGAAGCAAGUUUUUUUUAUUAUUAUUAUUAUUAUUAUUAUUUAAUGGAAAGGUGGUUUUAACGCUCUUUUGGGUUUAGUGACAGUCUAGUGUGAAAUCAUGUGACUUGGCAAGUUUUAAAUGAGGCUACUCCUGGUUUACUCCAAUAUGAAUGAGAUGUGUUACAUGUGAAAUCAAAGGCUUUUCUACUGUAAACAAUAGUUUUAUAUCAGGUUCUUAAUUGCGCAUCACAAGCCAGAUGGGAGUGCAUUUUGUACCUGGUUCUUAAUGACACGUGUUGAAGAACAAGGCAUUUGUGAAAAUUGUAGCCAGACUAUGAUUCCUAAAAUUUGAUGAUCUUUUAGACUUCAUACUCUUUGAUCUGUCUAAACAUUAAACAUCGACAUAUAAA